UGCAGGCCAGAAGGUCCAAAGAUACCUAUAAAGCACCAGGCAUUUAAUCUACAGUUGGAGAUUAAAAUCAGAAACUUGGAAACUUACUUACAAGGACCUUUGAUGAUGGGUAUUUAAAAAAACUUGGAAUG
rnacentral:sRNA from 1 species